AGCUGACACAUCCCUGCCAUCUCCGGCAGACCCUCCCUCCAUUUCCUGGACAGCAUCCAUGUUGAAGCUGCCUUCAACAUGGAUGCUGUCCAGGAAGUAGGAGGGUCUGGGAGGGAGGGUCUGCCGGAGAUUGGCAGGGAUGUGUCAGCU